AUCAAAGAGCGCUCUGUGGUUCAUAUUGUAAUCAGUAACCCAGGAAUCACAACUUCAAAUCACAAAUACCUCGAUGAUGAGGAAGAGGAAGAGGCUUAAGGAGAAGCCAAGGAAGAGGGAUUUUGAUAGGCAGCUUAGUUGUUGUUGUAAAGACUUAACUAAAACUCUGUGUUUUUUUGUCGCUACCUUGCAAUCUCUUGAAACUCCUUAUGAAUCUGUGUCUUAAUGACACGCUUUUGAGACUAAGUUGGUUUUGUGUCACGGCUUCAGUUGUUAGACUGAUUAUAUUUUGUAUCGUUGUGUGUUUUCCCUAAUCAGGUUCCACACAAGGUCGGACUCCAUCAUCAAAAGGUAUAUCCUUAAUACUGAUAUCUGGUUUUGAUUUAUACGUUUGUUUCCCUACUAGAGCACUAAUCAUGAUCCCUGAUAGUUGAUUCUUUGUGCGUUAAUGGAUACAACUUUGGUACUAGGAACUGACAAUAAUCUGAUGCCAUCUUAGAAUCUCUUGUCUUAGAAAGGCUGCUGGUAUCCCAAAGAAGUUGGCUCCUACAAUGUAUCACUCAUAGGGUUUUAACCUAACAAUUCUCCCUCUGAUGAUGAUCUUUUGAAAAUCGCUCUGUGAAAUAAGUUUUUACCGAUUUAGUGUUUUAGUGUAAGAGAAGUUGGAAAAAGUAUUCCAUUUUCUAAAAUAUCAACUAAAAUUAUGCAUAAUCUAAGAUAAUCAAUCCAAAAGUAUAGGUUACUA